UACGUAGGGUGCAAGCGUUGUCCGGAAUUAUUGGGCGUAAAGAGCUCGUAGGCGGUCUGUUGCGUCUGCUGUGAAAACUCGGGGCUUAACCCCGAGCCUGCAGUGGAUACGGGCAGACUAGAGGUAGGUAGGGGAGAAUGGAAUUCCCGGUGUAGCGGUGAAAUGCGCAGAUAUCGGGAGGAACACCGGUGGCGAAGGCGGUUCUCUGGACAGUUCCUGACGCUGAGGCACGAAGGCCAGGGGAGCAAACGGG
rnacentral:rRNA from 1 species